CUUGAUCCCUGGGAGAAAAUAAGGACACGGAGCCCUGGAGAGCACAGCCUAAAGAUUCACUCCAUCCCGAUGAGCUCCGCCCUCCUGCCCUCCUGCCCACCUGCCUGCUGGGAAGGGGACCACUCACUUAUCCAGCUUGUGGAUCUGCUCCUCAUUGUAGCUGAGCCCUGAAGGAAACAGAUGGGGAUGGCGUCACCACUCAACUAGUCCGGGAACCAAGUUAAAAAGAUGAAGAACAGCCUAGGGUGGGGACCAUUUUAUGGGAUCUCAGGCCUAGGGGAGCCCGCGGGGAUGAGGAAAUGGAACAUCAAGUAACUAUGACAACACUGCUGUUGUGGACAAAAGACUGAAUAUGAUUUUGGUAAAAAGGAGCUGAGGAGAAAUGCUUUGGGGCUCCAGAACGAGGCGAAUCUUGCUGGGUGGGCGGGUGUGUGUACGGGAGAUGUUGCAGGUGGGAGAUGUUGCAGGUGGGAACGCUGGGUGAGAUGUUAGCGCAGCUUCGGCCCUGCAUCCUCCACCCUCCCCAGCUGGCAGCUGGUUGGCUCCAUCCCUGGAGUCUCUCACAGGUAGGCCACCACCUUCUAACUGUCCCUCUUUGCCCAGCAGCUUUUUUCAGAAGGAACAACUUUGGGUAGAAGUGCCCGUGCCUAGAUCGAGGCUACUGCCGACGAUCUUAAUGCUCUUGCAAUGA
rnacentral:lncRNA from 1 species